GUUGAUGGUUUGAAAAGAUAAUUCUGGCACUGGGCAAGACUGAGGUUAAAGGAGGUGGGUCCAGGUGAGGAUGUGGAUGACAAGGAAAUGGAGCAAAAUGUAGCACUAAGCCCUCUAACUGAGAAAAGCACUAUUUACCAAUUUGUUCUACCCAAAGCAUGGUGGAAAUAAUGUCUGUCCUCCCAGAGAGAUUUACCAGUUAAAAAAGAAUCUUCAGAAAAUGGACUGCUGCUUCUCGCUUCAACCCACUUGUCCAGCUGUGACAAGUAGGAGUUCAAGAGAUAAUCAGUCAAAUGUGGAUUAUCAAGGACCGUGCAUUGGGAAGAUAAUAGCAUCUACUAAACAAAGAAUGUGUGCACACAACUGUUAAGGUACUUCUACACAGAUUCUCCCAAACAUCUAAGAAAAGCCAUUCUUAUGUGUGCCUGUCCUCUAGAAUUCCUCUGGCAUUCUAUUCUCUCAUCUGCAGGCUAAAGAGAGGGAGGCUAGCAAAUCAAGAAACAUUGAAAAAGAAAGAAACGAUUUUUUAAAUGAGCCAUUGUGUUAUAGUGGAUGAGUAAGAAAACAGCUUAGAAUUCGGAUUCUUCCACUUUUGAGUUGUGGGAUUGAGGACAAGUCAUUGAACUUUUCUGAAAUUCAGUUUAUGCGUCUAUAAAAUAGUGGUGCUAAUAACGUCACAGGUCUGCUGUAGGAAUAGACAGUGUAAUGAAGUGCUUUUCUAAGUGUUUACUUGUGGCCAUAAUUUUGCACUGCAACAUGCGCUCUCCUCCACCUUCCCUUGUAUGCAUUCCCACCAGUCCUGAAGUCCACAGCAGAGGAGGAUAAAUACACAAGAUUACAAAUUAUAGGGUCAGGAGAGACCCAACCAGGUAUGAGAUGAAAGCCAUCUGGGAAUGAUAGGAAAAGCGGAACCUGGUUGGUCUCCUCCAGGCGGAAGGCAAGCUGUAAGAGCAAGCCAGAAGGUUGGAGAGAGAGAAGGAAAGUGUGGGAAGCAGCCUUAAAAAGCAGAAUGAUACUAAGGAGCAGCACUUCUCCCUCCCAAUGUUUCCUUCUCUGUGGAGGGAGCUUUUCUAAAGUAACUCCUGGCCUCUCUUUGCUCGCUCACUUAACUCCUGUACCAGAGAGGCGGGGUAAUGUAUCUGAUUGGUGAGUUUGGAAUAAGACACACGACAAACAUAAGCCAGCCCUUUCCUCUUCCUUUCUCUCGUGGCAUCUGCAGGCCUGCCAAGAGCAUGAAUUUUGGUCUGCUUUGUUACUGAUACCAUUGUGGUAAAUGUACCAUGGGUACAUGGCAAAAAUGGGCUUUCCAAAACUGAAAUCCAGAAUUAGAUAGAAUUACCCACAUAUUCCAUAGGUGCUAGAAAAUUGCAGUCCUACCUCACAGAGGGCAAAUUCCAAUUUACAGCCAAGCUUACCAGAUGACUAACCCGAUCUGCCAUGAAAUAUAUUUAUAUAAUUGUAAUAUUAUAAAUGGUGUUGAUUGGUUCCAACUUUCAAAUCAUCUAUAGACAAAGCAUAGGUGACAUAUCUAGUUACAGAAUAGAACGUAAGUGCUAUAAAUCUUGAUGGUGUAAAAAUAAUGGCAUUAUUGACUUAUCUUGGUGUGUAGAGGAGAGAGAAGGUUAUGUACGGAAUUUUCAUGUUCCCCCAAAUUCAUAUGUUGAAAUUCUAACCCCCAUGUGAUGGUAUUAUGAGGUAGGGCCUUUGGGAGGUAGUUAGGUCCUGAGCGUGGAACCCUCCUCAUGAAUGGGAUUAGUGCCUUUAUAAAAGGCACCCCAGAGAGCUCCUCACUCUGCUCUCUGCCUUGUGAGGACACAGUGAGAAGAUGGCCAUCUGCAAAACAGCAAGUGGACCCUCAUCAGACACACCAUCUUCUGGGGCUUUGAUCCUGGAUUUUCCAGCCUCCAGAACUUGGCCCACUGUAUGAAUAAGCCUCGUUUAUUCGUGCAUUCCCCUACCAACGAACAUUCGGAUUGUUUCCAACUCUUUGUUUUUACUAGUAGAUUUUAGUAAAUACCCUUUAUCGAAUUUAAGAAGAUUCUUUAUCACCUGACAGGACUUUUUUUAUAGUAAGUAAACC
rnacentral:lncRNA from 1 species